UGGAGUGAUAGGACAAGGGGUAAUGGCUUUAAAGUAAAAGAGAGUUCAAUUGGUUCCAUGGAGGGUGGAAUGACCUGUCACUGCAAUUAAGCAGAGUUCAUUGCAAUAUAUUCAACUUGAAUGGAGGCAAAAGAGGACAAUUUCAUGGGAAUGAUCACAUUCACAGACUACACAGCACCUUUCCUACCUGCCCUGAAGCAUCUGACAAGACACCUUCCCUGAAAGUCUGACUUCAGAUUUC